rnacentral:rRNA from 1 species
UACGUAGGGAGCAAGCGUUGUCCGGAAUUACUGGGUGUAAAGGGUGCGUAGGCGGCCCUGCAAGUCAGGCGUGAAAACCAUGGGCUCAACCCGUGGACUGCGUUUGAAACUGUGGGGCUUGAGUGAAGUAGAGGUAGGCGGAAUUCCCGGUGUAGCGGUGAAAUGCGUAGAGAUCGGGAGGAACACCAGUGGCGAAGGCGGCCUACUGGGCUUUAACUGACGCUGAGGCACGAAAGCAUGGGUAGCAAACAGG